rnacentral:rRNA from 1 species
CAGCCGCCGCGGUAAUACGAAGGGGGCUAGCGUUGCUCGGAAUGACUGGGCGUAAAGGGCGCGUAGGCGGAUUGUUUAGUUAGGCGUGAAAUUCCUGGGCUUAACCUGGGGACUGCGCUUAAUACAGGCAGUCUAGAGUGAGGAAGAGGGUUGUGGAAUUCCCAGUGUAGAGGUGAAAUUCGUAGAUGUUGGGAAGAACACCGGUGGCGAAGGCGGCAACCUGGUCCUUGACUGACGCUGAGGCGCGAAAGCGUGGGGAGCAAACAGGAUUAGAUACCCCUGUAGUCCCUGUCUCUUAUAA